rnacentral:misc_RNA from 1 species
AACGCACAUUGCGCCCUUUGGUAUUCCGAAGGGCAUGCCUGUUCGAGCGUCAUUAUAACCACUCAAGCCUGGCUUGGUAUUGGAGUUCGCUAUCUGCGUCUCCUAAAAUCAGUGGCGGUGCCUGUAGGCUCUACGCGUAGUAAUACUUCUCGCUAUAGGGUCCUGCGGGUUACUUGCCAACAACCCCUAAUUUUUUAAGGUUGACCUCGGAUCAGGUAGGGAUACCCGCUGAACUUAA